GACGAACGCUGGCGGCGUGCCUAAUACAUGCAAGUCGAACGAACGGAUAAAGAGCUUGCUCUUUUGAAGUUAGUGGCGGACGGGUGAGUAACACGUGGGUAACCUGCCUCACAGCUGGGGAUAACAUCGAGAAAUCGAUGCUAAUACCGAAUGUGCUGAACAUCAUAAGAUGUUCAAGUGAAAGACGGUUUCGGCUGUCACUGUGAGAUGGACCCGCGCUGGAUUAGCUAGUUGGUAAGGUAUGGCUUACCAAGGCGACGAUCCAUAGCCGACCUGAGAGGGUGAUCGGCCACAUUGGGACUGAGACACGGCCCAAACUCCUACGGGAGGCAGCAGUAGGGAAUCUUCGGCAAUGGACGAAAGUCUGACCGAGCAACGCCGCGUGAGCGAAGAAGGCCUUCGGGUCGUAAAGCUCUGUUGUUAGAGAAGAACAUGGGUGAGAGUAACUGUUCACCCCUUGACGGUAUCUAACCAGAAAGCCACGGCUAACUACGUG
rnacentral:rRNA from 1 species